rnacentral:misc_RNA from 1 species
UCCGAGUUGACCCCGGCAGUCUCCUGCGAGUCCCCGCCAUUACGCGCUGGCAACACAGGACAAGGGUUGCGCUCGUUGCGGGACUUAACCCAACAUCUCACGACACGAGCUGACGACAGCCAUGCACCACCUGUAUACCGACCACAAGGGGGGCCGUAUCUCUACGGCUUUCCGGUAUAUGUCAAACCCAGGUAAGGUGGGGAUGACGUACUGGAAGCAAGCU